UACAGAGGUCUCAAGCGUUGUUCGGAUUCAUUGGGCGUAAAGGGUGCGUAGGUGGCGCCGUAAGUCGGGUGUGAAAUUUCGGAGCUUAACUCCGAAACUGCAUUCGAUACUGCGGUGCUUGAGGACUGGAGAGGAGACUGGAAUUCAUGGUGUAGCAGUGAAAUGCGUAGAGAUCAUGAGGAAGACCAGUGGCGAAGGCGGGUCUCUGGACAGUUCCUGACACUGAGGCACGAAGGCCAGGGGAGCGAAUGGG
rnacentral:rRNA from 1 species